rnacentral:rRNA from 1 species
AUUGAACGCUGGCGGCAUGCCUUACACAUGCAAGUCGAACGGUAACAGGUCUUCGGAUGCUGACGAGUGGCGAACGGGUGAGUAAUACAUCGGAACGUGCCCGAUCGUGGGGGAUAACGCAGCGAAAGCUGUGCUAAUACCGCAUACGAUCUACGGAUGAAAGCGGGGGAUCGCAAGACCUCGCGCGGACGGAGCGGCCGAUGGCAGAUUAGGUAGUUGGUGGGGUAAAGGCUCACCAAGCCUGCGAUCUGUAGCUGGUCUGAGAGGACGACCAGCCACACUGGGACGGAGACACGGCCCAGACUCCUACGGGAGGCAACAGUGGGGAAUGUUGGACAAUGGGCGCAAGCCUGAUCCAGCCAUGCCGCGUGCAGGAUGAAGGCCUUCGGGUUGUAAACUGCUUUUGUACGGAACGAAAAGACUCUUUCUAAUAAAGAGGGUUCAUGACGGUACCGUAAGAAUAAGCACCGGCUAACUACGUGCCAGCCGCCGCCGUAA